GAUGCACAGCCCUAUGAUGAUGGCAGCCAAAAGGAGAACACACAGCAGCCCAAGAUACACCACAGCCAGCUUGUAGGGACCUGAGGAGAACAUCACAUAUGAGAAUGCUCUGCGCAGAACAAUAGAAUAUAAAGGGACUUGCAGAAUAAUGUAAUGUAUAAUUACCAUGAUUAUGACUCCCUGACUUAUCCUGGAUCUCGCUGUGCUUCAUUCUUUGCCCAGACCUUUUCGGAACUGCAUUCAUAUAUAUAUUUUCUGUGUUUUGUUAGGUCUUAUAUUAAUAUUGGAAGAAUCUGGAUCUUCAUAAAUGUCGACAGACAUGUUUGCUUCUCUCUGCUAUCUGGUCAGUGUGGAGUGUGAACCUGCUGGUCUGGACCAGUGAAGAGAAAAAAAAGUCAGAAUAAUUCAGUGUCUAUUUACACCCCUGGUACCGCCUGCAGGACGAUUGGUUGUUUGCUCCUGUCGGCCACCUGAGUUGCUCUGAUGAGAAUGGCCCUUUGUCCAUCCUGAUUUCCAUGAAAUUUGGUGGGAAGUCGUAGCCUGGGCCAAAGACAAACCCUUACCAUUCUGAAGCAGAUUGGACUCACAGGCCACCUCAACACUUUGGCUUUUGCCACUGUUGUGUUCACAGCUGCUUUGCAUGGUGUCCUUAAUGCCUUCAGUAUGCCCUCUAGUGUUCAACAUCAACAUAUAUUUUAAAAGAUGGCGUGAUGGUGAUUGCUCGAAUAAAGUCAUAUUCAGUAAAACUUACAUGUUCCUUUAAUUUUCUAGAGUUUCUGGAAGUUAUUAUUUAACUGUAUGACAUCUUUAUUAACCUGC